GAUGAACGCUGGCGGCGUGCCUAAUACAUGCAAGUCGAGCGAAUGGAUUAAGAGCUUGCUCUAUGAAGUUAGCGGCGGACGGGUGAGUAACACGUGGGUAACCUGCCCAUAAGACUGGGAUAACUCCGGGAAACCGGGGCUAAUACCGGAUAACAUUUUGAACCGCAUGGUUCGAAAUUGAAAGGCGGCUUCGGCUGUCACUUAUGGAUGGACCCGCGUCGCAUUAGCUAGUUGGUGAGGUAGCGGCUCACCAAGGCAACGAUGCGUAGCCGACCUGAGAGGGUGAGCGGCCACACUGGGACUGAGACACGGCCCAGACUCCUACGGGAGGCAGCAGUAGGGAAUCUUCCGCAAUGGACGAAAGUCUGACGGAGCAACGCCGCGUGAGUGAUGAAGGCUUUCGGGUCGUAAAACUCUGUUGUUAGGGAAGAACAAGUGCUAGUUGAAUAAGCUGGCACCUUGACGGUACCUAACCAGAAAGCCACGGCUAACUACGUGCCAGCCGCCGCCGUAA
rnacentral:rRNA from 1 species